CGUAUCACUUAAAGCGAUUCAGCGGGUUACGAUUGACGGAGCGAAGCGACGUCAAAGCGUAUACAAAGUCGAGUCGGUUUAAGGAUACGUUCGUUGGGUAGGGGAGCGUUCUGUAAGCCUGUGAAGGUGGCCUGUGAGGGUUGCUGGAGGUAUCAGAAGUGCGAAUGCUGACAUAAGUAACGAUAAAGCGGGUGAAAAGCCCGCUCGCCGGAAGACCAAGGGUUCCUGUCCAACGUUAAUCGGGGCAGGGUGAGUCGACCCCUAAGGCGAGGCCGAAAGGCGUAGUCGAUGGGAAACAGGUUAAUAUUCCUGUACUUGGUGUUACUGCGAAGGGGGGACGGAGAAGGCUAUGUUGGCCGGGCGACGGUUGUCCCGGUUUAAGCGUGUAGGCUGGUUUUCCAGGCAAAUCCGGAAAAUCAAGGCUGAGGCGUGAUGACGAGGCACUACGGUGCUGAAGCAACAAAUGCCCUGCUUCCAGGAAAAGCCUCUAAGCAUCAGGUAACAUCAAAUCGUACCCCAAACCGACACAGGUGGUCAGGUAGAGAAUACCAAGGCGCUUGAGAGAACUCGGGUGAAGGAACUAGGCAAAAUGGUGCCGUAACUUCGGGAGAAGGCACGCUGACACGUAGGUGAAGUGAUUUACUCACGGAGCUGAAGUCAGUCGAAGAUACCAGCUGGCUGCAACUGUUUAUUAAAAACACAGCACUGUGCAAACACGAAAGUGGACGUAUACGGUGUGACGCCUGCCCGGUGCCGGAAGGUUAAUUGAUGGGGUCAGCGCAAGCGAAGCUCCUGAUCGAAGCCCCGGUAAACGGCGGCCGUAACUAUAACGGUCCUAAGGUAGCGAAAUUCCUUGUCGGGUAAGUUCCGACCUGCACGAAUGGCGUAAUGAUGGCCAGGCUGUCUCCACCCGAGACUCAGUGAAAUUGAACUCGCUGUGAAGAUGCAGUGUACCCGCGGCAAGACGGAAAGACCCCGUGAACCUUUACUAUAGCUUGACACUGAACAUUGAGCCUUGAUGUGUAGGAUAGGUGGGAGGCUUUGAAGUGUGGACGCCAGUCUGCAUGGAGCCGACCUUGAAAUACCACCCUUUAAUGUUUGAUGUUCUAACGUGGACCCGUAAUCCGGGUUGCGGACAGUGUCUGGUGGGUAGUUUGACUGGGGCGGUCUCCUCCUAAAGAGUAACGGAGGAGCACGAAGGUUGGCUAAUCCUGGUCGGACAUCAGGAGGUUAGUGCAAUGGCAUAAGCCAGCUUGACUGCGAGCGUGACGGCGCGAGCAGGUGCGAAAGCAGGUCAUAGUGAUCCGGUGGUUCUGAAUGGAAGGGCCAUCGCUCAACGGAUAAAAGGUACUCCGGGGAUAACAGGCUGAUACCGCCCAAGAGUUCAUAUCGACGGCGGUGUUUGGCACCUCGAUGUCGGCUCAUCACAUCCUGGGGCUGAAGUAGGUCCCAAGGGUAUGGCUGUUCGCCAUUUAAAGUGGUACGCGAGCUGGGUUUAGAACGUCGUGAGACAGUUCGGUCCCUAUCUGCCGUGGGCGCUGGAGAACUGAGGGGGGCUGCUCCUAGUACGAGAGGACCGGAGUGGACGCAUCACUGGUGUUCGGGUUGUCAUGCCAAUGGCACUGCCCG
rnacentral:rRNA from 1 species